rnacentral:rRNA from 1 species
GUGGGGAAUUUUGCGCAAUGGGCGAAAGCCUGACGCAGCGACGCCGCGUGGAGGAUGAAGGCCUUCGGGUCGUAAACUCCUGUCGGGGGGGAAGAAAGCCUUAACGGGCCUGACUGUACCCUCUGAGGAAGCCACGGCUAACUCCGUGCCAGCAGCCGCGGUAAUACGGAGGUGGCAAGCGUUGUUCGGAAUUACUGGGCGUAAAGGGCGCGUAGGCGGCUUUGCAAGUCAGAUGUGAAAGCCCCGGGCUUAACCCGGGAAUUGCAUCUGAAACUGCUUUGCUUGAGUCCUGGAGGGGGUAGUGGAAUUCCCAGUGUAGCGGUGAAAUGCGUAGAUAUUGGGAGGAACACCUGUGGCGAAGGCGGCUACCUGGACAGUGACUGACGCUGAUGCGCGAAAGCUAGGGGAGCGAACGGGAUUAGAAACCCCAGUAGUCC